UGCUGAAGUUGAGACUUGAGAGGAAGGAGGGCUGCUCUUUUUUGUGGAGAAUAGAAAAUGAUAAAAGCCUACUUUUCCCUUUGUUCUUUUCUUGUCAAUCCUUCGUCUGAAUUUAGUGUGCAUAUUUAGUGUAUCGCUAUUCGACGUCCGCGUACGUUAAAAUCGACCGUAAUUCUAAUGUAGAAGUAUAUUUUUACCCUUGUAAAAUGUCCCCCUCCCUCCAUUUUUCACCCAACAUUCACCCCCUCCCACCUCCCGUCAGCCACCAUCUUGUUACCUUCACACCAUCAUCAUUGCUCCUCCAUCCCUUUAUUUGGAGUUUUGAGCCACCCUUACUAUUGCUCCUUCUCUUUACCCCACCGUCACAUCACUAUAAAUCCCGCAGCUAACUAUAGCUUCUGCCCCAUCAUGAAACUUUUACUCCACCGUUAUUGUUGAAGAAGAACAAGAUCAGAGUAUUUGCGAGCCGAAGCCAACUGCCGUUAAAAUCACCAUCACCAUUAACAAAGUAUCCUGCAGCCACCAUCACCAUAAUCGUCGAGUAAAUGAAAGAAGAGUUUCCUUCAACAUCGUAGUUGUCGUCGUUGCAUCCUCAUCGGCCAUCAUCGGAGGGAGACCUUUGAAGGGUAUUAGAGAAGAGGUUUUGAGCUUAAGCGAUCGGAGCGAAGUUUUUGGAUUGCAGACUGAGUGCCAAUCAGAACCUUAACAGACUGCAAAAUGAUUGUCUUCUCUCUUCAGAAGCACCACCUGACAGAACUGUAAUUGUUGAAAAUUUGGGACUACACUGCCCUUCUUGUCGAUGUAAUUCACAAUUCUGUAGGCAAAUGCAAAUGCCAUGCUCCAAAACCCUCAGGAGAUCUUUUGACUA